UCCCUGAUAGCUCAGUUGGUAGAGCGACGGACUGUUAAUCCGCAGGUCCCAGGUUCGAGUCCUGGUCGGGGAGCCA
rnacentral:tRNA from 1 species